CAGAACUUCCAUUUUCCAUCAAGAAAAAUAUAUUACACACCAUUUGCACACACUCAUUUAUGGUCACUGCCAUACAUCUCACAGAACCAUACACACACCAUUAGAGAACAAAAUUUUUUCCACUCAAUUUCACGCACAGACGCAUAGCUCCAAUGCACUAAAUACGCACACAUAGGGGUCUUCACCACCAAUUAAUACGCACACAUAUCCACACACACAGUGAUCGGAAAAUGGACCCUCUUCCAUCGAAAAACCAUAUCCACACACUAAAUCGCAUGCACACACCGAAAAGGCUUAGAUUGAGGGAAAGAACACAGAUUUCACGGGUGGGUUACUGUUCUGGUGACAGACUCGCCGGAAACGCGACAAAGUUGUCGCAAAUCUGGUCGAAUCCAUCGGAAUAUAUCACAUCUGGUAUUUCUUUAUUGUCUUCGGUCAUCACUGAAGUCGAUCGGAGUCACGAUGACAUAAAGAAGUCUGGAGAACCUUGAUCUGUCUUCAAUUUUGUCCGAACCCAUCAAAAUUCAGCUCGGUUUUCUCAUAUUCUCACGAUCUCUAGCUCGAGGUUGGGUGGGUUCAUCAGAAUCGGGUCGGGUCUCCCUGUGUUCUUGUGAUACACAGUUCCAAGUUGGACAAAUUCGUCAUUGAGGCUUAAGUCAAAGUUAUCGAAGGUACAAAGGUGAUAGAAGGGGAACAUGUCUUCGAUAGCUGGGAUUAUUAUGACUACAACAUGGGAGACUAUGAUUAUAGUGAGGGGUUUUAUGGCUAUGAAGUUGACAGAGAUUGCGGAAGCUAUGAAAAUAGCCAUGAACAAAACUUGGACAGAUUUGGGAGUUACGGUUUUGAGGGAGAAAAUGAGGUGAAUGAAGUGUCUAGUGCUUAUGGUGACUUUGGAGAUGAUGUAAUACCUUGUGAAUGUUCUUAUGAUGAUGUUGGGGCAUGUGAGGAGUCUUACACUUCUCACUCCGAACCUAGAUUUGGUGUUAGGUGUAACCCUUUCAUUAACAAAGCUUAUGAGAGCUAUGAUGAGAGUGCAAUUAAGGAGUGAGAAGAUUCAUAUUCUUCACCUUGUAUUUCUUCUUAUCAAGGUCAAUAUAGUGUGAAUGGUUAUACUAGUUCAAGUGGAGGUUAUCUAACGAGAAGAAGAGGGUGUGCAUCUCCAAAAUCGAGGGGUACUUGUGUGCAUUAUAAUGUUGAUCCGAGAAGGAGUAUACACUUUGGAAAGGUGACCAUUUGUGGGAUACCGGGAUACCUUAUUGUGUUGAAUGAUAGGUACUAUAAAAACUACAUCGUUCCUUCCAUGGUCAACUACUUGUGGUUGUUUCGAGAGCCUUUACUUGUUCCAUACUCAUUGGACGACUUCAAGGUUGCCGAGAGGGUAAAAGUUGUCUUCUCCCAAUAUGAAUACCAUAAAAAGUUGCGGUUCGAUGUUCUUCCCUUGCCCUACAGUCAUGUAUACUUAGGUGUCAAUUGGUUUGCACGACAUAAUGUUCCUAAUGUGGAAAAUUGGCCUAGUGUUGUAAGAAACCAAUGGGAGAAUCGCCUCAUGACUUACUUACUGCCCAAGCCAUAAACAGAAGUGCCUACCUACUCCAAUCUAAAUUAUUAUGAGAGAUAAAAGAUUGAGAGGAGUAAGGAAGUGCAAGGUGGUAAUCCGAGAGUGGAAAAAAGAGAGGUUGUGUGGAGCGAAGUGAGGGGAUUAUCACCAAACCAUGCUAAAAUUGGUUGUCCUUCUAUUUCUAAGGACAUUUGUGUAGGCACCAACAUUUCAAGCGAAGGCGAACAAUGCUGAAAGGAAGUUGCUGCCCAAGCUUAUAGAGGACCUUCACACAAUGGCAAAGAAGAAUCUACUCAAGAAAUUUAAGGUUUGUAUUCGAGGUCGAAUCCUUUUCAAGAAGGGGAGGAUGAUAUAAUAACAAUGGCCACCUUAGCUUUUGAUGACAUCAUUCAAAGUCACUAUGUGAAGAAUCAAGCUUUGGCCACAUGGAGGGCACAAGAUCAUACUUGGAGGGGACGAUUUGAUCCUACCGUUGAUCAAAUUCAAGUGUGGAAGAUUGGUUGGAGCCUUGAAGACUUAGGGACUCUCGGAUUUGGACCACUUUUAUUGGUUCAUGGUUUUGGUGACCUUUAUUAAGGACAUUUUGGUCACUUAGCCUUAAGGGAAUUUUGGACAAUUCAAAUUGUUUUCCAAUACACCAAGGCCACCCUUGGUCAUUAAGGGUAGUGUAGUCUUUUUUUCCUUCUUUUGUAAUAUACUAUAAGUAGGAUUUUUUUAGGUGUUCUCUCAUUAGUUAAUGAAUAAUGAACAUUUGAGAUACUUAUUCUCUCUUUGGAGA